GACGAACGCUGGCGGCGUGCUUAACACAUGCAAGUCGAACGGAAAGGCCCUGCUUUUGUGGGGUGCUCGAGUGGCGAACGGGUGAGUAACACGUGAGUAACCUGCCCUUGACUUUGGGAUAACUUCAGGAAACUGGGGCUAAUACCGGAUAGGAGCUCCUGCUGCAUGGUGGGGGUUGGAAAGUUUCGGCGGUUGGGGAUGGACUCGCGGCUUAUCAGCUUGUUGGUGGGGUAGUGGCUUACCAAGGCUUUGACGGGUAGCCGGCCUGAGAGGGUGACCGGCCACAUUGGGACUGAGAUACGGCCCAGACUCCUACGGGAGGCAGCAGUGGGGAAUAUUGCACAAUGGGCGGAAGCCUGAUGCAGCAACGCCGCGUGCGGGAUGACGGCCUUCGGGUUGUAAACCGCUUUCGCCUGUGACGAAGCGUGAGUGACGGUAAUGGGUAAAGAAGCACCGGCUAACUACGUGCCAGCAGCCGCGGUGAUACGUAGGGUGCGAGCGUUGUCCGGAUUUAUUGGGCGUAAAGGGCUCGUAGGUGGUUGAUCGCGUCGGAAGUGUAAUCUUGGGGCUUAACCCUGAGCGUGCUUUCGAUACGGGUUGACUUGAGGAAGGUAGGGGAGAAUGGAAUUCCUGGUGGAGCGGUGGAAUGCGCAGAUAUCAGGAGGAACACCAGUGGCGAAGGCGGUUCUCUGGGCCUUUCCUGACGCUGAGGAGCGAAAGCGUGGGGAGCGAACAGGCUUAGAUACCCUGGUAGUCCACGCUGUAAACGGUGGGUACUGGGUGUGGGGUCCAUUCCACGGGUUCCGUGCCGUAGCUAACGCUUUAAGUACCCCGCCUGGGGAGUACGGCCGCAAGGCUAAAACUCAAAGGAAUUGACGGGGCCCCGCACAAGCGGCGGAGCAUGCGGAUUAAUUCGAUGCAACGCGUAGAACCUUACCUGGGUUUGACAUGGAUCGGGAGUGCUCAGAGAUGGGUGUGCCUCUUUUGGGGUCGGUUCACAGGUGGUGCAUGGCUGUCGUCAGCUCGUGUCGUGAGAUGUUGGGUUAAGUCCCGCAACGAGCGCAACCCUUGUUCACUGUUGCCAGCACGUUAUGGUGGGGACUCAGUGGAGACCGCCGGGGUCAACUCGGAGGAAGGUGGGGAUGACGUCAAGCCAUCAUGCCCCUUAUGUCCAGGGCUUCACGCAUGCUACAAUGGCUGGUACAGAGAGUGGCGAGCCUGUGAGGGUGAGCGAAUCUCGGAAAGCCGGUCUCAGUUCGGAUUGGGGUCUGCAACUCGACCUCAUGAAGUCGGAGUCGCUAGUAAUCGCAGAUCAGCAACGCUGCGGUGAAUACGUUCCCGGGGCU
rnacentral:rRNA from 1 species